rnacentral:lncRNA from 1 species
GUAACACCCUAACCUGAAUACUCGUAUUACUCUAGUUUUAUAAGAGGAUUGUUUUAAAAUUUUCGCAGCGGAUAAAAAUAAAACUUUAUUGAUUAAUAAUUAAGGAUGGAGAUAGAUGAAUAUUAUGAAUUAGGGUAUUACUAUUCCCAAUUUACAUUGCUAUAAAUUUAAUUAGUAUACACGUGCAUUGGAUGAAAAUCUUUUACUAGUGACUUAUACAUUUUUAUGUCUUAACCUAGACCAUAUAAAUAAAAUUGAAAUACUAUACACCCUCCCUAUGUGUCCAAAUCAGAGCGAGGCUACACCGGAACACGAACACCAAAACGCAACACCUGAGAAACUGAGCUCCCAAGUGCCCAGUCAAAUAACAAAUAAUAGGGUGAGUUUAUGUAAUGAGCAACAAAAAAAAUAGGAAAUAUACAACAAGGUAUAAACAUGAUUAUAUCACAUUAAUAAUUCAUACAACAUUUAUACCAUUUAAUCAACACCUCAAUUUACACAUCACUAAUCAAUUAAUUAAAUCAAUCAUACAACAUUAGUUACUUAGAAUAUCGGAGAUAUAUUACUAAAUAUCCAACUCACCAUUAGACAUCAUUUAGCACCCACCAAUUAACACACAAAUUAUCACUUAUCAUUUAGUGUGCAAUUAUGCAAACCUCAAUUAACAAUUUAUCAGUCCACAACAUUUCAUCUAUUGAAAUUAAGUAUGCAAUGUCUCCCUAAACACGACCUAUAUGCAUGUGGUACCCAUCAUCAUAAUUUUGGAAAACUUAUUCCAAAUGUUUUNNNNNUAUGGAUAACAUAAUCCAAAUAUUCUAAAUCAUCGUCUUUAGAAUAUACCUACACAUGAUAAAUCCUUAUUUAUCAUCAUCAAUAAAUUGAGCAUCCUAGUUAUAUUCAUGAACAAUCACACCUCGUCAUUGUGCAUAAGCACGAAAACACCGUCAUUGUGCAUACGCACGACACAUCACUAAUACACCAAAAGAAUUCAUACACCGAUGAAAUUCAUCAUUUAGUACACAAAUAGAAUUUAUCAACAAUCCACGUCAAUGACACUUCAUCAAUAAACUCACAAAUAAAGUUUAUCAAUUAAAUACAUUAACUAACACAUCAAUUUAGUUUCAUUCAUAUAUUCAUCACCAUUAUCUUUUCGAAGAUUAGAUAANNNNNNNNNACUCAACUACAUUCUCUCUAUUUCCCAAAAUUCUUAAUUAUUCUUUACUAGAUUCGUUUUAAUUCGAAAACAACUUCUCCUAAUUAAUCACUAAGUUUUAUCAUGAAAAGUAGUGAUUUAAACUCUCAUAAACUCACCUAAUAAUUAGGAUUAAGUCGUAUAAAGAUUAGGGAUAAAAAGGGAUCGGCAAAAUAGACCUAACAUCACAGAACAACGCAAACCAGAGUUGCAGGACUGCGAUUUGCGCAUGAUGCGCUAGAUUUGCGCAUGAGGCGCAAAAGACAGCAUCCACUUGCAGAAUUUUGCAGGUUUUGACCUGCUCACCACGCAGACCAUAAGUUGAGCUACUUAUAUCGGAUUUCAACGCGUAAACAUGCGUUGGAAAGCUAAGGGAAAGAACUACAACUUUUAUGUUGACAUCAAAAACCAGUUCAGAACGCAAAGGGGUCAAAUUGUCACGUUUUUGCUGCAGACUUUAUCAAAAACAGUUUUUCUUAAACUAUAAAAAUUCAAUCUUUGAUUUUCCAAAAACCCAAUUUGAAUCCCAUUAGUCCUCAGACUUCACUAAUCAACACUCAUGAUAUUUGAACCUCAACAAACAUCAUUCCAUCAACAAUCAACACCAAAUCAUCAAGAUUCAUCAUCAUUAAUUCAUUAAAUCAUAUAAAAACUCAUUUUUCUCAAAAC